rnacentral:misc_RNA from 1 species
AAAGAGGCCUCUGUGGUAAAGGGAGUCGUGACAACAAAAGAAGCAUCUGUGGAAAAUGUAGUCAUGACAACAAAAGAGGCCUCUAUGGACGAGGGAGCGAUGGCAGCAAAAGAGGCAUCUGCAGAUAGAUCCAACAAUACCUUCACAAAUGGAUUUUCAAUGGCUGAUGGAACAGAAUCACUUCAAUCUGGUCGCUGCACAGGAGCUAAAAGGAGGAAGUCUGCUUCUGUUCGGAGGUUUAUACCGCAAGCUACUUCAGGUGUAGUGAAGGAUCUCCAAGAUGCUGUAGCAAAUGCUACUAGUGGCCAUUUGGUUGCAUUACUGCAGGAAGAAGUUCACGAUCAAGGACUUGUGGGAAAUGUUUUGGGUUGUAAUAAUAAGUGUGAUCGGUUCAAAGAUACAUAUGCCAUAACAGAAAUUAUCAAGGCCGAGAGCUAUUCACCACCUGAUAUAGAAAAUGGCUUGAAGGAUGUAUCUGUGACCUUUCUAGUUAAGAGGUCAGAUGGAACAGAAGAUGUUGUGGAUAACAAGUUUAUGAAGACGAAUAAUCCACUUUUGCUGAUAAGCUAUUACGAGAAGCAUAUUCAACAUCAUCCGUCUCUAUGAGUGAGCUGAGGUGAAGGUGG